GAUGAACGCUGGCGGCGUGCUUAACACAUGCAAGUCGAACGGAAAGGCCCAAGCUUGCUUGGGUACUCGAGUGGCGAACGGGUGAGUAACACGUGGGUGAUCUGCCCUGCACUUCGGGAUAAGCCUGGGAAACUGGGUCUAAUACCGGAUAGGACCACAUUUUGGAUGGUGUGGUGGAAAGUUUUUCGGUGUGGGAUGAGCUCGCGGCCUAUCAGCUUGUUGGUGGGGUAAUGGCCUACCAAGGCGUCGACGGGUAGCCGGCCUGAGAGGGUGUACGGCCACAUUGGGACUGAGAUACGGCCCAGACUCCUACGGGAGGCAGCAGUGGGGAAUAUUGCACAAUGGGCGCAAGCCUGAUGCAGCGACGCCGCGUGGGGGAUGACGGCCUUCGGGUUGUAAACUCCUUUCGCUAGGGACGAAGCGUUUUUGUGACGGUACCUGGAGAAGAAGCACCGGCUAACUACGUG
rnacentral:rRNA from 1 species